ACUUUGAAACACUGUUUCCCGUAUGUUUAUCGAAGUUAAGCAAUGUCGAGCCUGGUCAGUACUUAGAUGGGUGACGGCUUGAGGAAUAGCAGGUAUUGCAAGC